ACGGCCACAUCACGUUCAAACAUCAGUUCCUGUACGAUCACCGAAGUUAAGCAUCGUCGGACCUGGCCAGUACCUAGAUGAGUGACCGCUUAAGAAUACCAGGUGUU